GCUGCAGCCCUUGUGCAACAGCAUCUGAAAAAGUCCAUACACUAUAUAACACCACAGAGAAAAGUGCGUGUGCUGAAUAGGUAUUUUCUACUGCAAAUUUAUUCUCACAUUGCUUUAUUGACAUAGGACAGGAAAUUUAACAAUUCAUCAAAGGUGGUCAUUUACACAAACUUGAACAAAUCCCUGACAAAAAUAUGUGAAUUCUACAAUAGUAAAUAAAACAAGUUCACCUACAUGAACG
rnacentral:misc_RNA from 1 species